UACGAGGGGAGCUAGCGUUGUUCGGAAUUACUGGGCGUAAAGGGCGUGUAGGCGGUACCAUAAGUCAGAUGUGAAAGCCCUAGGCUUAACCUAGGAGGUGCAUUUGAUACUGUGGAACUAGAGAUCGAGAGAGGUAAGUGGAAUUACGAGUGUAGAGGUGAAAUUCGUAGAUAUUCGUAAGAACACCAGUGGCGAAGGCGGCUCACUGGCCAUAUACUGACGCUGAAACACGAAAGCGUGGGGAUCAAACAGG
rnacentral:rRNA from 1 species